UAUUGGACAAUGGGGGCAACCCUGAUCCAGCCAUGCCGCGUGUGUGAAGAAGGUCUUCGGAUUGUAAAGCACUUUAAGUUGGGAGGAAGGGCUUUAGGUUAAUUCCGUGAAGUUUUGACGUUACCAACAGAAUAAGCACCGGCUAACUCUGUUCCAGCAGCUGCGGUAAUACAGAGUGUGCAAGCGUUAAUCGACAUUACUGGGCGAAAAGCGCGAGUAGGUGGUUCAGUAAGAUGAAUGUGAAAUCCCCGGGCUUAACCUGGGAAAUGCUUUCAUAACUGCUGAGCUAGAGUACGGUAGAGGGUAGUGGAAUUUCCUGUGUAGCGGUGAAAUGCGUAGAUAUAGGAAGGAACACCAGUGGCGAAGGCGACUACCUGGACUGAUACUGACACUGAGGUGCGAAAGCGUGGGGAGCAAACA
rnacentral:rRNA from 1 species